CUAAUACCACAUAACACAUUUGCAUAGCAUUAUGUGAAUGUCAAAGGGUUACCGGUAUAAGAUGGGCCCGCGUCCAAUUAGCUAGUUGGUGGGGUAAAGGCCUACCAAGGCGACGAUUGGUAGCCGAGCUGAGAGGUUGAUCGGCCACAUUGGGACUGAGACACGGCCCAGACUCCUACGGGAGGCAGCAGUGGGGAAUAUUGCGCAAUGGGGGGAACCCUGACGCAGCGACGCCGUGUGAAGGAAGAAGGUUUUCGGAUCGUAAACUUCUUUGAUUGGGGAAGAAGCAGUGACGGUACCCAAAGAACAAGCCACGGCUAACUACGUGCCAGCAGCCGCGGUAACACGUAGGUGGCAAGCGUUGUCCGGAAUUACUGGGUGUAAAGGGCGUGUAGGCGGGGAUGCAAGUCAGAUGUGAAAGCCCAUGGCUCAACUGUGGGACUGCAUCUGAAACUGUAUCUCUUGAGUACUGGAGAGGGAAGUGGAAUUCCUAGUGUAGCGGUGAAAUGCGUAGAGAUUAGGAGGAACACCAGUGGCGAAGGCGGCUUCCUGGACAGUAACUGACGCUGAGGCGCGAAAGCGUGGGGAGCGAACAGGAUUAGAUACCCUGGUAGUCCUCGCCGUAAACGAUGGAUACUAGGUGUAGGAGGUAUCGACCCCUUCUGUGCCGGAGUAAACACAAUAAGUAUCCCACCUGGGGAGUACGACCGCAAGGUUGAAACUCAAAGGAAUUGACGGGGGCCCGCACAAGCAGUGGAGUAUGUGGUUUAAUUCGAAGCAACGCGAAGAACCUUACCAGGACUUGACAUCCCCUGACGUCUCUGGAAACAGAGAUUUCCUACGGGACAGGGAGACAGGUGGUGCAUGGUUGUCGUCAGCUCGUGUCGUGAGAUGUUGGGUUAAGUCCCGCAACGAGCGCAACCCCUAUUGUUAGUUGCCAGCAAGUAAAGUUGGGCACUCUAGCGAGACUGCCGGUGAUAAAUCGGAGGAAGGUGGGGAUGACGUCAAAUCAUCAUG
rnacentral:rRNA from 1 species